rnacentral:rRNA from 2 species
UGUAGGUGAACCUGCGGAAGGAUCAUU